rnacentral:rRNA from 1 species
CGGAGGAAAAGAAACUAACAAGGAUUCCCCUAGUAACUGCGAGUGAAGCGGGAAAAGCUCAAAUUUAAAAUCUGGCGGUCUUUGGCCGUCCGAGUUGUAGUCUGGAGAAGCGUCUUCCGCGUUGGACCGUGUACAAGUCUCUUGGAACAGAGCGUCAUAGAGGGUGAGAAUCCCGUCUUUGACACGGACUACCAAUGCUUUGUGAUGCGCUCUCAAAGAGUCGCGUUGUUUGGGAAUGCAGCGCAAAAUGGGAGGUGAAUUCCUUCUAAAGCUAAAUAUUGGCGAGAGACCGAUAGCGAACAAGUACCGUGAGGGAAAGAUGAAAAGCACUUUGGAAAGAGAGUUAAACAGUACGUGAAAUUGCUAAAAGGGAAACGCUUGAAGUCAGUCGCGUCGUCCGGAACUCAGCUUUGCUUCGGCUUAGUGCACUUUCCGGUUGACGGGCCAGCAUCGAUUUUGACCGCUGGAAAAGGGCUGGAGGAAUGUGGCACCUUCGGGUGUGUUAUAGCCUUCAGUCGCAUACAGCGGUUGGGAUCGAGGAACGCAGCGCGCCUUAUGGCUGGGGUUCGCCCACAUUCGCGCUUAGGAUGCUG